rnacentral:piRNA from 1 species
UCUUAGAGAAGUGAAGUAACCCAUUUGCC